rnacentral:piRNA from 1 species
UCUUAAAGAGAUGAUACUGGUGGUGAGGA